rnacentral:rRNA from 1 species
CCCGGGUCCUGUACACACCGCCCGUCACACCAUGGGAGCGGGAUGUACCAGAAGUAGGUAGGCUAACCGCAAGGGGGCCGCUUACCACGGUGCGUUUCGUGACUGGGGUG